ensembl:lncRNA LINC02028 long intergenic non-protein coding RNA 2028
GGGGAGAGAUGCCGCGUGCCUGAGAGGCUCUGGGAGGUCGCCGCAGCUUUCGCUUCCCGGGUUUUACAUUUCCGAAGGGGCUGAACGUCUGCAGAGGAACCGGAGCUGAUGCUGGGGCUGGGGCUGGGGCCGGGGCGGGAACCUAACGAAUGCACCUCUGGGGAGGCUAGAGGGAGCGCGGCUCAGCCUCCUCCCUGGGUGGGUCCUUCAGCGCUCUUUCCUUCUUUUUUUCUUUUCUGCAGAUGUUAUGUGGUCAACAGGGACUGAGGCUCUUUAAGCCCUUAAAUCUCUAAGGGCUAAAUCUCCUUCCUGAUAUUCGCCCCCAAACCGGCACCAAAGAAGGCCCAGAGAGGUUUAACAACUUCCUCAGAAUCACACAGCUUCCAAAUGGUUGGGUUGGGUUUACAUUUAGGCGGUCUUGCUCCAGAGCCAGUGCUCCUAACCUUUGCAAGCCACGAACCUCAAGAAAGUGGAGAAGGAAACGCUGGGAAAUCUGGAAGUCAGACAUGCCUAGUUUAUCUCCCGGGAGCUGACUUCAUUUCUAAACGUAUAGGGGUUUCUUAGAGGAGCUUCAGAAUACUAAUCAUCGCUAGUGAGGGCACUUGGACACUUUGCU